AUCGUGGCGUUAAGACGUAUUUUUUCGCGUGUUAUUUAUAAUUAUCUGUGUAAUAUUUUCAUCAUCAUUCCCACACUGCUGUUAACACCAUUUAAAUAACAUUAUUGGUUGAUUGCGACGAAGUUGGAAAAUUAAGGAAGAUGACUUGUGAUAAAUCUGCUGAUUUUUAUUCAUAUUAGGUUCUACAUUCCUUUUUCUUCCUGUUCUGUGAAAAGGACCUAGCACUGCUUCAGGUCAACGAUACUUCUAUAACCACAUCGAUAACAACAUUUUUUGCAUCUAAUCGUGAGUCGCAUGUAUUUUUAUUCCUCUGGUCACUUAAUCAUGUCGUAGGAUGAAAGAUCCGAAUCGAUACAGGUGACUGGUUAUAUUAUGUAGAACUUUUGACGAGCAUAGUGACCACGGGUAUUUAUUAUACCUGUGAGUAAUAACAUGUUUUAUUUAUCAGUUCAGGAUAGGUUUUCUUGCACAUCGCGUUUUUUAAUAUUAAUAAUAAUGCAUUUACA